CCCUUCGAUGUUCGGAGCUGCACGCGCGCUACACUGUGGGUGGCAGCAUGUUAGCUUGCCUCGCUCGCAAGAGUGGGGUAAUCGUUUGAAAAUCCCACGUGAUUGGGAUAGGGACUUGUAAUUAUUUCCCUUGAACGAGGAAUCCCUAGUAAGUGCAGGUCAUCAGCUUGCGCUGAUUACGUCCCUGCCCUUUGUACACACCGCCCGUCGCACCUACCGAUUGAAUGGUCCGGUGAGAAUUUUGGAUUGAUGUUUCGUCGGGUUAACGCCAGACUUUACGUUGAGAAGUUAUUCAAACCUUACCAUUUAGAGGAAGGUGAAGUCGCAACA
rnacentral:rRNA from 1 species